UACGUAGGUGACAAGCGUUGUCCGGAUUUACUGGGCGUAAAGAGCGCGCAGGCGGUCGUUCAAGUCGAGUGUGAAAGCCCCCGGCUCAACUGGGGAGGGUCAUUCGAUACUGAUCGACUCGAAGGCAGGAGAGGGUAGUGGAAUUCCCGGUGUAGUGGUGAAAUGCGUAGAUAUCGGGAGGAACACCAGUGGCGAAGGCGACUACCUGGCCUGUUCUUGACGCUGAGG
rnacentral:rRNA from 1 species